rnacentral:rRNA from 1 species
GACGAACGCUGGCGGCGUGCCUAAUACAUGCAAGUAGAACGCUGAAGAGAGGAGCUUGCUCUUCUUGGAUGAGUUGCGAACGGGUGAGUAACGCGUAGGUAACCUGCCUUGUAGCGGGGGAUAACUAUUGGAAACGAUAGCUAAUACCGCAUAACAAUGGAUGACACAUGUCAUUUAUUUGAAAGGGGCAAUUGCUCCACUACAAGAUGGACCUGCGUUGUAUUAGCUAGUAGGUGAGGUAACGGCUCACCUAGGCGACGAUACAUAGCCGACCUGAGAGGGUGAUCGGCCACACUGGGACUGAGACACGGCCCAGACUCCUACGGGAGGCAGCAGUAGGGAAUCUUCGGCAAUGGGGGCAACCCUGACCGAGCAACGCCGCGUGAGUGAAGAAGGUUUUCGGAUCGUAAAGCUCUGUUGUAAGUCAAGAACGAGUGUGAGAGUGGAAAAUUCACACUGUGACGGUAGCUUACCAGAAAGGGACGGCUAACUACGUGCCAGCAGCCGCGGUAAUACGUAGGUCCCGAGCGUUGUCCGGAUUUAUUGGGCGUAAAGCGAGCGCAGGCGGUUUGAUAAAUCUGAAGUUAAAGGCUGUGGCUCAACCAUAGUUCGCUUUGGAAACUGUCAAACUUGAGUGCAGAAGGGGAGAGUGGAAUUCCAUGUGUAGCGGUGAAAUGCGUAGAUAUAUGGAGGAACACCGGUGGCGAAAGCGGCUCUCUGGUCUGUAACUGACGCUGAGGCUCGAAAGCGUGGGGAGCGAACAGGAUUAGAUACCCUGGUAGUCCACGCCGUAAACGAUGAGUGCUAGGUGUUGGAUCCUUUCCGGGAUUCAGUGCCGCAGCUAACGCAUUAAGCACUCCGCCUGGGGAGUACGACCGCAAGGUUGAAACUCAAAGGAAUUGACGGGGGCCCGCACAAGCGGUGGAGCAUGUGGUUUAAUUCGAAGCAACGCGAAGAACCUUACCAGGUCUUGACAUCCCGAUGCUAUUUCUAGAGAUAGAAAGUUACUUCGGUACAUCGGUGACAGGUGGUGCAUGGUUGUCGUCAGCUCGUGUCGUGAGAUGUUGGGUUAAGUCCCGCAACGAGCGCAACCCCUAUUGUUAGUUGCCAUCAUUCAGUUGGGCACUCUAGCGAGACUGCCGGUAAUAAACCGGAGGAAGGUGGGGAUGACGUCAAAUCAUCAUGCCCCUUAUGACCUGGGCUACACACGUGCUACAAUGGUUGGUACAACGAGUUGCGAGUCGGUGACGGCAAGCUAAUCUCUUAAAGCCAAUCUCAGUUCGGAUUGUAGGCUGCAACUCGCCUACAUGAAGUCGGAAUCGCUAGUAAUCGCGGAUCAGCACGCCGCGGUGAAUACGUUCCCGGGCCU